rnacentral:misc_RNA from 1 species
GACGAACCGAGCGAACGUUAUUCGGAAUCACUGGGCUUAAAGGGCGCGUAGGCGGGCGAUCAAGUCCGGGGUGAAAGCCUCCAGCUCAACUGGAGAAGUGCCUCGGAUACUGGUCGCCUCGAGGGAGAUAGGGGCGUGCGGAACUUCCGGUGGAGCGGUGAAAUGCGUAGAUAUCGGAAGGAACACCGGUGGCGAAGGCGGCGCGCUGGAUCUCUACUGACGCUGAGGCGCGAAAGCCAGGGGAGCAAACGGG